rnacentral:rRNA from 1 species
CCUACGGGAGGCUGCAGUGGGGAAUAUUGGACAAUGGGGGGAACCCUGAUCCAGCCAUGCCGCGUGUGUGAAGAAGGCCCUCGGGUUGUAAAGCACUUUCAGUGAGGAAGAACGCCUGGUGGUUAAUACCCAUCAGGAAAGACAUCACUCACAGAAGAAGCACCGGCUAACUCCGUGCCAGCAGCCGCGGUAAUACGGAGGGUGCGAGCGUUAAUCGGAAUUACUGGGCGUAAAGCGCGCGUAGGUGGCUUGAUAAGCCGGUUGUGAAAGCCCCGGGCUCAACCUGGGAACGGCAUCCGGAACUGUCAAGCUAGAGUGCAGGAGAGGAAGGUAGAAUUCCCGGUGUAGCGGUGAAAUGCGUAGAGAUCGGGAGGAAUACCAGUGGCGAAGGCGGCCUUCUGGACUGACACUGACACUGAGGUGCGAAAGCGUGGGUAGCAAACAAGAUUAGAUACCCGGGUAGUC